CCUACGGGAGGCAGCAGUAGGGAAUAUUGCUCAAUGGGGGAAACCCUGAAGCAGCAACGCCGCGUGGAGGAUGAAGGUUUUCGGAUUGUAAACUCCUUUUGUUAGAGAAGAUAAUGACGGUAUCUAACGAAUAAGCACCGGCUAACUCCGUGCCAGCAGCCGCGGUAAUACGGAGGGUGCAAGCGUUACUCGGAAUCACUGGGCGUAAAGAGCGCGUAGGCGGGAUAGCAAGUCAGAUGUGAAAUCCUAGGGCUUAACCAUAGAACUGCAUUUGAAACUGUUAUUCUAGAGUAUGGGAGAGGUAGGUGGAAUUCUUGGUGUAGGGGUAAAAUCCGUAGAGAUCAAGAAGAAUACUCAUUGCGAAGGCGACCUGCUAGAACAUAACUGACGCUGAUGCGCGAAAGCGUGGGGAGCAAACAGGAUUAGAUACCCGUGUAGUC
rnacentral:rRNA from 1 species